UGGGGAAUCUUGCACAAUGGGGGAAACCCUGAUGCAGCGACGCCGCGUGAGCGAUGAAGGUUUUCGAAUCGUAAAGCUCUGUCCUAUGGGAAGAUAAUGACGGUACCAUGGGAGGAAGCCCCGGCUAACUACGUGCCAGCAGCCGCGGUAAUACGUAGGGGGCGAGCGUUGUCCGGAAUUACCGGGCGUAAAGGGUUCGCAGGCGGCAUGGCAAGUCCGAUGUAAAAGUCGAAGGCCCAACCUUCGUAAGCAUCGGACACUGUCAAGCUUGAGUGGAGGAGAGGCAAGUGGAAUUCCUAGUGUAGCGGUGGAAUGCGUAGAUAUUAGGAGGAAUACCGGUAGCGAAGGCGACUUGCUGGACUUCAACUGACGCUGAGGAACGAAAGCGUGAGUAGCAAACAGG
rnacentral:rRNA from 1 species